CAGACGGGUGAGUAACGCGUGGGAACGUACCUUCGGUUCGGAAUAACCCGGGGAAACUCGGGCUAAUACCGGAUACGUCCGCAAGGAGAAAGAUUUAUCGCCGAAGGAUCGGCCCGCGUCGGAUUAGCUAGUUGGUGAGGUAACGGCCCACCAAGGCGACGAUCCGUAGCUGGUCUGAGAGGAUGAUCAGCCACACUGGGACUGAGACACGGCCCAG
rnacentral:rRNA from 1 species